AGGACCUUGAAACAAAUGGAGGGUGAACCAGUAAAAGCAAGCUGUUGGAAUUACAUAGUAAGAGAAAGUCAAGAGGUCUCCAUCUGUAUUCAAAAUGUAAACUGGCCACAAAAUUCUAAUGGAGGAAACAAUGAAUCUAUGCUAUCGCUAUCAAAACUACUACCAUCAUCAUGAAACCUGAAGCCAAACUGAGACUAAAUCAACAAACAAAAUGCCUCCUGUGAUGGUUAGUUUUAUGUGUCAACUCUGCUAAGCUUUAGUGCAUAGCGGUUUGCUCAAACACCAGUCUAUAUGUUGCUUUCAGAUGUGAUACACAUUUAUAAACACAAGACCUUAGGUAAAGCUGGUUACUCUCCAUAAUAUGGGUGAGACUCAUCCAAUCAAUUGGGGGCCUGAAGCGCAAAGACUGAGGUUAUCCAAGGACAAAAUAAUUAUGUCAUAAGAGUGCAUUGUAGAAAUUCUGCAUUUCUGGCCUGCUUGGCCUAUCCUAUGGAUUUAGGAGUCAAGACUGCAGUAUCAACUCUUCUAUGAAUUUAUAGCCUGCUAGCCCAACCUAUAGAUUUCAUAUGUGCUAGCCUCUGCAAUUGUGUGAGCCAAAUCCUUGAAAUAAAUCUUUUACCCUUCUA